rnacentral:rRNA from 1 species
UACGUAGGGUGCGAGCGUUGUCCGGAAUUAUUGGGCGUAAAGAGCUCGUAGGCGGUCUGUCGCGUCUGCUGUGAAAACUCGGGGCUUAACCCCGGGCCUGCAGUGGGUACGGGCAGACUAGAGUGCGGUAGGGGAGACUGGAAUUCCUGGUGUAGCGGUGAAAUGCGCAGAUAUCAGGAGGAACACCGGUGGCGAAGGCGGGUCUCUGGGCCGAUACUGACGCUGAGGAGCGAAAGCGUGGGGAGCGAACAGG